AGAUUCAACAUGGAACGAGUGGCGGACGGGUGAGUAACACGUGGGUAACCUGCCCUUAAGUGGGGGAUAACAUUUGGAAACAGAUGCUAAUACCGCAUAGAUCCAAGAACCGCAUGGUUCUUGGCUGAAAGAUGGCGUAAGCUAUCGCUUUUGGAUGGACCCGCGGCGUAUUAGCUAGUUGGUGAGGUAAUGGCUCACCAAGGCGAUGAUACGUAGCCGAACUGAGAGGUUGAUCGGCCACAUUGGGACUGAGACACGGCCCAAACUCCUACGGGAGGCAGCAGUAGGGAAUCUUCCACAAUGGACGCAAGUCUGAUGGAGCAACGCCGCGUGAGUGAAGAAGGCUUUCGGGUCGUAAAACUCUGUUGUUGGAGAAGAAUGGUCGGCAGAGUAACUGUUGUCGGCGUGACGGUAUCCAACCAGAAAGCCACGGCUAACUACGUGCCAGCAGCCGCGGUAAUACGUAGGUGGCAAGCGUUAUCCGGAUUUAUUGGGCGUAAAGCGAGCGCAGGCGGUUUUUUAAGUCUGAUGUGAAAGCCCUCGGCUUAACCGAGGAAGCGCAUCGGAAACUGGGAAACUUGAGUGCAGAAGAGGACAGUGGAACUCCAUGUGUAGCGGUGAAAUGCGUAGAUAUAUGGAAGAACACCAGUGGCGAAGGCGGCUGUCUGGUCUGUAACUGACGCUGAGGCUCGAAAGCAUGGGUAGCGAACAGGAUUAGAUACCCUGGUAGUCCAUGCCGUAAACGAUGAAUGCUAGGUGUUGGAGGGUUUCCGCCCUUCAGUGCCGCAGCUAACGCAUUAAGCAUUCCGCCUGGGGAGUACGACCGCAAGGUUGAAACUCAAAGGAAUUGACGGGGGCCCGCACAAGCGGUGGAGC
rnacentral:rRNA from 1 species